GAUUUCUGGAAGAUUGUGUGACUGGAGUAAUGAUGCUAAAAAUUCAGCUUUGAAAUUCAGCUUUGAUUGUUCCUAAUAAACUGUUUAACUGCACUCGCAAGUGAAUCUCAAGUUAUUUUGUGGGAUAAUUAAAUAUAUUGUAAAUAAACUACAAACCUAAAAAUAUAUACAUUUAUUUUGUCCCCCUCGGCACACUCAGCCUUGACUCGAACCAAAAAAAAAACAAGAAAAAUUAGUAAGUUAGGUGAAAUACAAAAUCGUCACGGUCACAUCAGGCACAAAUAUAAUGAUUACACACUGCUAAAUAAUUACACCACACGGCCACUACAGCCCAAAACACACUGGUCAAACCAUUUCCACACAAAAACAAAACCCAAACCAUAAAAAUAAAAAAACAGAACACAGAGACUACUGAAAUUAUGAAAUCCUAAGAAAAUAAUCCGUCCAUGAAAGACAAAAAGAAGAAAAAAAAAAACUAUUCAUGAAAAACAGCAGCACGACCUGAGUUAACCAUCACGUGUUAGGCAGGCGACUGUAAAACAAAACAUAACUAAUCAAACAAGAAUCUACUCCAAUCAGGGGAUACAAAACAUUUAAUAAAUCAUACGUACCACACGAAAAAAAUCACACAUCACAAUAUCUGGAUCCACUCGUGAAUGUUCUGCUAAAACACACAAUAACCUCCAUUAAACUCGACUAACACCAUAAAACCCACACCACAACUCAUUGCGAUUGCCGGCAUACCUGAAAGCUUCCAAUAAGUGCUUGACGCAACUCCCAGGGCACGCUGCCAAGACGGUUACAGCAAUCACUUCAAAAGACAAAGACACAUACCCUAAACACUUUAAAACCACACGACGCCAUGCAUAACCUCCGUCACUUACCCAGACUGCAAUAACACCGGAAGAGGGGCGGGUAUGACAAAGCCUACAUUCUAGGGCUUCCAAUCUACAUGCUUAAAUACACCUGCCCUAAUUACCUCAUUCUCCCAUUCCCAUAUAAGGGUAACGACUGCAGAAAAAAAGAAAAAUCCCC
ensembl:lncRNA